UCCUAAUUUUUUAUUUGAAAUGGAAUAAAAAUUAAAAAUAAUACAAUAAGGAUAAUAAAUAGAAAACACAAAAUCACUACUUCGAUUUAAAUUUGUCUAACCACCAUAUUCUUAAUAUUUGAAAUACAAAUGUACUCAUAAAAGUUUAAUAGAUCUAAAUAUUGUGCUAAUACUCAAAACAUAAUCCUAUCGAUCUAAAUACUUGUUGGUGAAGCGAUAGUAAUGCUCCAUCUCCAUGGACUUCCAUUUCUUGCUCUCUUUCUUGUUCACUUCCUUUGAAACCUGAAAUUAGAAAGGAGACAUAAAUGUUAACCAAAGAAAACCGAUCCAUGAAGCUAUUAGUGUCUAGUACUCGAACCAUCUUUGUCAAGAAUAAUGACAACAUGAAGUAGAAAAAAAAACAGGGAGUUUUGUCAAAUAAUUUUUAGCAUAACAUAUAUCUUUCUCAUAAAAGCUUUUUUUUACAAAAAAAAAAAANAUAUAUUUUUUUCAAAAAAAAGUUUUUUUAAAAAAAAAAAAAAAAAAAAAAAAAAAAAAGUUUAUUUUUUUCCAAACCAAAGGGCAAAAUAUUCCAAUCAAGAUAUGAUUUUACAAAGAAGAAACAAAAAUUGGAAGAAAGGCAUUUGACAUUGCCACUGUGAUCAUUUGUUUGUUCUAAUUUCCUACAAGUCAUGUCAAACAUUUUUUAGCAUGACAUAUAUCUUUCUCAAUAAUAAAAAUUUGCUUUUGCAUUGGUAUAGGGGAAUCAUUAGGGAUAAAUACAUACGUAUAAUUUGAAAAAAUGAUUGACCAGUUAGCAUGUGAGCUUUAAAUUACGGUACAGGGAGUUGAUUUUGAUUCUUUUGUUUUUACAAAAAAGCAUAAUUGUUUCUUUAGUAACUACAGACCAUAAUAAGAAAAAUGAUUUUAGAUGAAACAUGAGCAAAAAAAAAAACACUAAUAACAAAAAAAAAAAACAACAAUAACACUUUUGACUUUCAAUAUAAUUAGACGUACAAAGUAACUCAAACUCACAAAAAAAUAUUAAUAGCAAAACUAUUACUGAUUUCGUUCUCAUAUAAAAACACUUAGGACCAUAAAGAUUCAAAACACCAAUACCAUGUUUAAUAGAGCAACUUAGGAAAAAACAAUUGAAAAACAAUGACAUAUACAGAAGCAUUUAAUAACAUCACCAAACAAAAUCAAUCAUGUCACAAUGGAUAACAUUAAUAACAUUGUAAAACCAACCAGUCAUGUCUCAACAAGUUAUGGAAUUAUUUGGCUCAUCAUAAUUAAUACUUCUACACACAUACAUACAUAUUUACUCAAAUACCACAUAAAAACAAAGUUCAAUAACUAUAUGUCAGAGAUCCUAAGCAAUAUGUACAAAAACAAAUGAAUGAUUAUUGAGGAAGAAGGAAAUAAUAACAACAGAAACGAGGCAGGGGCAUAAGCAACAAAAGCUAAGACGCAGGAAAAAUCAUGGUUGAGGAAGGAAGCAUAUAAUAGCAGUGAAAUGAAACUAAUAAGAUUGUAAAUCAUGUGUUUACCUGUGAGGUUGCAGGGACGAAGGUUGAAGAAGCUGUUGAACGGCACAAAAUCUUGUAUGUGAUACAUUUUUUGGUUUACGUCGUCCAAUAUCUCCACCUACAAGUUGAAAAAAAUCAUCAUCAUAAUAAAGUUAAAAUUAGGUGUCAUCUUCUAACUCGUUUAACCAAUUAAGAUCAUUUUACAUCUAAGCCAGAGACAAGAACUAGAUACGUGGAGGACUCAAAAGACAAAGGGUAGGGUUUAAUCACCACCAUCGAUUACACAUAUUAUCAUUUAAACCGAAAUAUGGAUUAACAAUUUAAUAUUUUAGGAAAAAACUAAGAACAAAAUUAUGAAUUUAAACUAUUCACAAAAUUUUAGUUCAUAAACGCUAAUCCAGGUAACUGAAAGAAAUAGAACCUUGUUGAACUUGGGUAACAGGGUCGUUCCAACACACCAGAAAAUACCAGAUCAUCCUUGAUGAAAAGAAAUAAAUCACAAAGAUGCAAUCAAUAAAAACCAGAAAAUACAUGAACACAAACAACUUACGUUUCAUAAUUGUAAAUGGGAGGGAUCCAACUGCAAGCCCUAAUUGGAACUCAGAUUUUUCAUCUCCUAACAACAAGCCCUAAUGGAACUCAAAAAAAUUAACAGAGGAUUGGAGAUGAUUGAGCGAAGCUGCCGAAAGUACUCGCCAAAUAUUCUUAUGAACGAAUGGAAACCGAGUAGAGAUCCACGAGAAUUCGAGCAAGGAUUGGAACUAGGGAAGGAAUGGAGAUUAGGGUAUAUGAUCGAGACCAGUCUUUUUUUCUUUCUAAUUUUUAAGUUUAAGGUGGGCAAAAUGCUCUAUUAAUGAUGGGGGAAAAUAGGAGCGGGCAACUUGAAAUUAGAAUUUUU
rnacentral:lncRNA from 1 species